CUUUCCAACAUCUAAUGGUAAGCCUCAAACUCUUGUUCUCAUUUCUCAGAGAUGGGACUCUCCGACUUGCUCCAAAAAUGGUAGUUUCUGAUUUCUUCAAAGAACCCAAACCAGCCAUUGAUGGCCUCAUUGGCAAUGCAAGGUUAAAUGCCAUGUUGAGAGAGAGAGAGAGAGAGAGAGAGAGAGGAAUUUGGUAUAGAGAGAGAGAGAGUGCUUAGGGAUCUAUAGGUGGGGGAAAUGACUGUUGCCCCCUUCUGCACAAGAUCAACAACCAUCUUCGCAUCUAACUCACGUGUUACAUUUGUUGCCUGCAUGUUACAUGACUCCUUUUGAGUUUUUGUUUGGUAAUGACUUUUAGUUGGCUUGCUUUUCCACUACUGUGGGUCCUUAGCUUGUUUUUGUCAGAAAUCACUACUUUGCAGGUCUUAUCCUCAA